UACGAAGGGGGCUAGCGUUGCUCGGAAUUACUGGGCGUAAAGCGCACGUAGGCGGAUUGCUAAGUCAGGGGUGAAAUCCUGGAGCUCAACUCCAGAACUGCCUUUGAUACUGGCAACCUUGAGUCCGGGAGAGGUGAGUGGAACUGCGAGUGUAGAGGUGAAAUUCGUAGAUAUUCGCAAGAACACCAGUGGCGAAGGCGGCUCACUGGCCCGGUACUGACGCUGAGGUGCGAAAGCGUGGGGAGCAAACAGG
rnacentral:rRNA from 1 species